rnacentral:rRNA from 1 species
GACGAACGCUGGCGGCGUGCUUAACACAUGCAAGUCGAACGGAAAGGCCUGUCCUUCCUUGUGUUGGACGGGUACUCGAGUGGCGAACGGGUGAGUAACACGUGAGUGAUCUGCCCCCAACUUGGGUAUAAGCCUGGGAAACUGGGUCUAAUUCCCGAUAGGACUGCAGGGUGGUGCCUGUGGUGGAAGACGAUUUUCUAGUGGUUGGGGAUGAGCUCGCGGCCUAUCAGCUUGUUGGUGGGGUAAUGGCCUACCAAGGCGGCGACGGGUAGCCGGCCUGAGAGGGUGGACGGCCACAUUGGGACUGAGAUACGGCCCAGACUCCUACGGGAGGCAGCAGUGGGGAAUAUUGCACAAUGGGCGGAAGCCUGAUGCAGCGACGCCGCGUGGGGGAUGACGGCCUUCGGGUUGUAAACUCCUUUCGACCGCGAGGAAGCCGCCUGGUUGGAAGGGUGGUGACGGUAGUGGUAGAAGAAGCACCGGCUAACUACGUG